rnacentral:rRNA from 1 species
GACGAACGCUGGCGGCGUGCUUAACACAUGCAAGUCGAACGGAAAAGCCCUGCUUUGGUGGGUUGCUCGAGUGGCGAACGGGUGAGUAACACGUGAGUAACCUGCCCUUGACUCUGGGAUAACUGCAGGAAACGGGGGCUAAUACCGGAUAGGAGCCGCUGCUGCAUGGUGGGGGUUGGGAAGUUUCGGCGGUUGGGGAUGGGCUCGCGGCUUAUCAGCUUGUUGGUGGGGUAAUGGCUUACCAAGGCGUUGACGGGUAGCCGGCCUGAGAGGGUGACCGGCCACACUGGGACUGAGACACGGCCCAGACUCCUACGGGAGGCAGCAGUGGGGAAUAUUGCACAAUGGGCGCAAGCCUGAUGCAGCAACGCCGCGUGCGGGAUGACGGCCUUCGGGUUGUAAACCGCUUUCGCCUGGGACGAAGCGAGAGUGACGGUAACUGGUGAAGAAGCGCCGGCUAACUACGUG